rnacentral:rRNA from 1 species
UGGGGAAUAUUGCGCAAUGGGCGAAAGCCUGACGCAGCGACGCCGCGUGAGGGAUGAAGGUUUUCGGAUCGUAAACCUCUGUCAGAAGGGAAGAAACCGCACUGUGCUAAUCAGCAGUGCCUUGACGGUACCUUCAAAGGAAGCACCGGUUAACUCCGUGCCAGCAGCCGCGGUAAUACGGAGGGUGCAAGCGUUAAUCGGAAUUACUGGGCGUAAAGCGCACGUAGGCUGCUUUGUAAGUCAGGGGUGAAAUCCCACGGCUCAACCGUGGAACUGCCUUUGAUACUGCUUAGCUUGAAUCCGGGAGAGGGUGGCGGAAUUCCAGGUGUAGGAGUGAAAUCCGUAGAUAUCUGGAGGAACAUCAGUGGCGAAGGCGGCCACCUGGACCGGUAUUGACGCUGAGGUGCGAAAGCGUGGGGAGCAAACAGG